rnacentral:tRNA from 2 species
CAAAAAGUAGCUUAAAUAAAGCAUUCGAUUAACAACCGAAAUAUAUUGUCGCCGAUCUUUUUGA